rnacentral:rRNA from 1 species
UACAGAGGUGGCAAGCGUUGUUCGGAAUUACUGGGCGUAAAGGGCGCGUAGGCGGCCUUCUAAGUCAGACGUGAAAUCCCCAGGCUUAACUUGGGAACUGCGUCUGAUACUGGGAGGCUUGAGUGCGGGAGAGGGAUGUGGAAUUCCAGGUGUAGCGGUGAAAUGCGUAGAUAUCUGGAGGAACACCGGUGGCGAAGGCGGGUCUCUGGGCAACAACUGACGCUGAGGAGCGAAAGCGUGGGGAGCGAACAGG